rnacentral:rRNA from 1 species
AACGAACGCUGGCGGCAUGCCUAACACAUGCAAGUCGAACGAGACCUUCGGGUCUAGUGGCGCACGGGUGCGUAACGCGUGGGAACCUGCCCUUAGGUUCGGAAUACCUCCCCGAAAGGGGUGCUAAUACCGGAUAAUUUCUUCGGACCAAAGAUUUAUCGCCUUUGGAUGGGCCCGCGUUGGAUUAGCUGGUGGGUAGGGUAAAAGCCUACGAAGGCGACGAUGCGUAGCUGGUCUAAGAGGGUGAUCAGCCACAUUGGGACUGAGACACGGCCGAGACUGCGACGGGAAGCAGCAGGGGGGAAUAGUGGACAAGGGGAGAAAGCGUGAUAUAGGCAUAGCGAGUGGGUGAAGAAGGCCUUCGGGUGGGAAAGCCCUUUGGGUGGGAAAGAAAAGCAGCAGGUUAAGACCCCGCGGUUAUGACGGUACCCAAAGAAGAAGCACCGGCUAACUUCGUG